CAGCCGCCACGGUAAUACGAAGGGUGCAAGCGUUAAUCGGAAUUACUGGGCGUAAAGCGUGCGUAGGCGGUUUGUUAAGUCUGCUGUGAAAGCCCUGGGCUCAACCUGGGAACUGCAUCCAAAACUGGUGAGCUAGAGUACGGUAGAGGGUAGUGGAAUUUCCUGUGUAGCGGUGAAAUGCGUAGAUAUAGGAAGGAACACCAGUGGCGAAGGCGACUACCUGGACUGAUACUGACACUGAGGUGCGAAAGCGUGGGGAGCAAACAGGAUUAGAUACCCCCGUAGUCCCUGUCUCUUAUAC
rnacentral:rRNA from 1 species